rnacentral:rRNA from 1 species
GGGGGAUCUUUCGGGACCUCGCGCUCAAGGGGCGGCCGAUGGCAGAUUAGCUAGUUGGUGGGGUAAAGGCCUACCAAGGCGACGAUCUGUAGCUGGUCUGAGAGGACGACCAGCCACACUGGGACUGAGACACGGCCCAGACUCCUACGGGAGGCAGCAGUGGGGAAUUUUGGACAAUGGGCGCAAGCCUGAUCCAGCAAUGCCGCGUGUGUGAAGAAGGCCUUCGGGUUGUAAAGCACUUUUGUCCGGAAAGAAAUCCUCUGGGUUAAUACCCUGGGGGGAUGACGGUACCGGAAGAAUAAGCACCGGCUAACUACGUGCCAGCAGCCGCGGUAAUACGUAGGGUGCAAGCGUUAAUCGGAAUUACUGGGCGUAAAGCGUGCGCAGGCGGUUCGCUAAGACAGAUGUGAAAUCCCCGGGCUUAACCUGGGAACUGCAUUUGUGACUGGC